AUUGAACGCUGGCGGCAGGCCUAACACAUGCAAGUCGAGCGGAUGAAGGGAGCUUGCUCCUGGAUUCAGCGGCGGACGGGUGAGUAAUGCCUAGGAAUCUGCCUGGUAGUGGGGGAUAACGUCCGGAAACGGGCGCUAAUACCGCAUACGCCCGGAGGGAGAAAGGGGGGGAGCGUCGGACCUUACGCUAUCAGGUGAGCCUAGGUUGGAAUCGCCAGGUGGUGGGGUAAAGGGCUACCAAGGCGACGCUCCGUAAGCGGUCCGUGAGGGUGAUCAGGCGCACUCGAACUGAGACACGGCCCAGACUCCUCCGAGAGGCCGCCGUGGGGAAUAUUGGACGAUGGGCGGACGCCUGACCCAGGCAUGCUCCGUGUGCGCAGCAGGUCUUCGGAUGGUAAAGCACUUGAAGUUGUGAGGCAGGGCCGUCAGUUCACCCCUUCCUGUUUUGACGUUACCUACAGAAUAAGCACCGGCUAACUUCGUG
rnacentral:rRNA from 1 species